UGGGGAAUUGUUCACAAUGGGCGCAAGCCUGAUGACGCAACGCCGCGUGGGGGAUGAAGGUCUUCGGAUCGUAAACCCCUGUCGAAUGGGACGAAAGACUCGCGAGUGAAUACUUCGCGAGAGUGACGGUACCGUUAAAGGAAGCCACGGCUAACUCUGUGCCAGCAGCCGCGGUAAUACAGAGGUGGCAAGCGUUGUUCGGAAUUACUGGGCGUAAAGGGCGCGUAGGCGGCCCUCUAAGUCAGACGUGAAAUCCCCCGGCUUAACCUGGGAACUGCGUCUGAUACUGGAGGGCUUGAGUAUGGGAGAGGGAUGUAGAAUUCCAGGUGUAGCGGUGAAAUGCGUAGAUAUCUGGAGGAAUACCGGUGGCGAAGGCGGCAUCCUGGACCAUUACUGACGCUGAGGCGCGAAAGCUAGGGGAGCAAACGGGAUUAGAUACCCUGGUAGUCCCUGAGCGGGCUGGCAAGGCGCAU
rnacentral:rRNA from 1 species